rnacentral:rRNA from 1 species
GCCUAGGAAUCUGCCUAGUGGUGGGGGAUAACGUUCGGAAACGGACGCUAAUACCGCAUACGUCCUACGGGAGAAAGCGGGGGAUCUUCGGACCUCGCGCCAUUAGAUGAGCCUAGGUCGGAUUAGCUAGUUGGUGAGGUAAUGGCUCACCAAGGCGACGAUCCGUAACUGGUCUGAGAGGAUGAUCAGUCACACUGGAACUGAGACACGGUCCAGACUCCUACGGGAGGCAGCAGUGGGGAAUAUUGGACAAUGGGCGAAAGCCUGAUCCAGCCAUGCCGCGUGUGUGAAGAAGGUCUUCGGAUUGUAAAGCACUUUAAGUUGGGAGGAAGGGUUGUAGAUUAAUACUCUGCAAUUUUGACGUUACCGACAGAAUAAGCACCGGCUAACUUCGUGCCAGCAGCCGCGGUAAUACGAAGGGUGCAAGCGUUAAUCGGAAUUACUGGGCGUAAAGCGCGCGUAGGUGGUUCGUUAAGUUGGAUGUGAAAGCCCCGGGCUCAACCUGGGAACUGCAUCCAAAACUGGCGAGCUAGAGUACGGUAGAGGGUGGUGGAAUUUCCUGUGUAGCGGUGAAAUGCGUAGAUAUAGGAAGGAACACCAGUGGCGAAGGCGACCACCUGGACUGAUACUGACACUGAGGUGCGAAAGCGUGGGGAGCAAACAGGAUUAGAUACCCUGGUAGUCCACGCCGUAAACGAUGUCAACUAGCCGUUGGGUUCCUUGAGAACUUA